rnacentral:rRNA from 1 species
UACGGGGGGGGGCAAGCGUUGUUCGGAAUUACUGGGCGUAAAGGGCUCGUAGGCGGCCAACUAAGUCCGACGUGAAAUCCCCAGGCUCAACCUGGGAACUGCGUCGGAUACUGGAUGGCUUGAAUUCGGGAGAGGGAUGCAGAAUUCCAGGUGUAGCGGUGAAAUGCGUAGAUAUCUGGAGGAAUACCGGUGGCGAAGGCGGCAUCCUGGACCGACAUUGACGCUGAGGAGCGAAAGCCAGGGGAGCAAACGGG